rnacentral:rRNA from 1 species
UACAUAGGGAGCAAGCGUUAUCCGGAAUUAUUGGGUGUAAAGGGUGCGUAGACGGGAAGACAAGUUAGUUGUGAAAUCCCUCGGCUUAACUGAGGAACUGCAACUAAAACUAUCAUUCUUGAGUGCAGGAGAGGAAAGUGGAAUUCCUAGUGUAGCGGUGAAAUGCGUAGAUAUUAGGAGGAACACCAGUGGCGAAGGCGACUUUCUGGACUGUAACUGACGUUGAGGCACGAAAGCGUGGGGAGCAAACA